rnacentral:rRNA from 1 species
AAUACAGAGGGUGCGAGCGUUAAUCGGAUUUACUGGGCGUAAAGCGUGCGUAGGCGGCUUCUUAAGUCGGAUGUGAAAUCCCUGAGCUUAACUUAGGAAUUGCAUUCGAUACUGGGAAGCUAGAGUAUGGGAGAGGAUGGUAGAAUUCCAGGUGUAGCGGUGAAAUGCGUAGAGAUCUGGAGGAAUACCGAUGGCGAAGGCAGCCAUCUGGCCUAAUACUGACGCUGAGGUACGAAAGCAUGGGGAGCAAACAGGAUUAGAUACCCUGGUAGUCCAUGCCGUAAACGAUGUCUACUAGCCGUUGGGGCCUUUGAGGCUUUAGUGGCGCAGCUAACGCGAUAAGUAGACCGCCUGGGGAGUACGGUCGCAAGACUAAAACUCAAAUGAAUUGACGGGGGCCCGCACAAGCGGUGGAGCAUGUGGUUUAAUUCGAUGCAACGCGAAGAACCUUACCUGGUCUUGACAUAGUAAGAACUUUCCAGAGAUGGAUUGGU